rnacentral:lncRNA from 1 species
AUCUUUUUCAUGUGAGGUCUGCCGAUCUGUCUUGUUUUCUUCUGUCAUGUUUGCCUUGUUGAACUCAUUAUAUUUAUAAUAUAUAUUCUGAUUUUUCUGUGUGUGUUUAUAUGCAUAGCGCGAUAGCCAUAUGAAUUGUACGCCAAGCUAAAUUUAAAAAUAUGUUUUUUCAAAAAAAAAAAAAUUUAAAAAUAUGUGAG